GAUGAACGCUGGCGACGUGCCUAAUACAUGCAAGUCGAGCGAACGGACGAGAAGCUUGCUUUUCUGAUGUUAGCGGCGGACGGGUGAGUAACACGUGGAUAACCUACCUAUAAGACUGGGAUAACUUCGGGAAACCGGAGCUAAUACCGGAUAAUAUUUUGAACCGCAUGGUUCAAAAGUGAAAGACGGUCUUGCUGUCACUUAUAGAUGGAUCCGCGCUGCAUUAGCUAGUUGGUAAGGUAACGGCUUACCAAGGCAACGAUGCAUAGCCGACCUGAGAGGGUGAUCGGCCACACUGGAACUGAGACACGGUCCAGACUCCUACGGGAGGCGGCAGUAGGGAAUCUUCCGCAAUGGGCGAAAGCCUGACGGAGCAACGCCGCGUGAGUGAUGAAGGUCUUCGGAUCGUAAAACUCUGUUAUUAGGGAAGAACAUAUGUGUAAGUAACUGUGCACAUCUUGACGGUACCUAAUCAGAAAGCCACGGCUAACUACGUG
rnacentral:rRNA from 1 species